UACAGAGGUCCCAAGCGUUGUUCGGAUUCAUUGGGCGUAAAGGGUGCGUAGGCGGCGCGGUAAGUCGGGUGUGAAAUCUCGGAGCUUAACUCCGAAACUGCAUUCGAUACUGCCGUGCUUGAGGACUGGAGAGGAGACUGGAAUUUACGGUGUAGCGGUGAAAUGCGUAGAUAUCGUAAGGAAGACCAGUGGCGAAGGCGGCAUCCUGGACCAACACUGACGCUGAGGAGCGAAAGCCAGGGGAGCAAACGGG
rnacentral:rRNA from 1 species